rnacentral:rRNA from 1 species
CAGCCGCGGUAAUACGGAGGGUGCGAGCGUUAAUCGGAAUUACUGGGCGUAAAGCGCACGCAGGCGGUUUGUUAAGCUAGAUGUGAAAGCCCCGGGCUCAACCUGGGACGGUCAUUUAGAACUGGCAGACUAGAGUCUUGGAGAGGGGAGUGGAAUUCCAGGUGUAGCGGUGAAAUGCGUAGAUAUCUGGAGGAACAUCAGUGGCGAAGGCGACUCCCUGGCCAAAGACUGACGCUCAUGUGCGAAAGUGUGGGUAGCGAACAGGAUUAGAUACCCUGGUAGUCCACACCGUAAACGCUGUCUACUAGCUGUUUGUGGCUUUAAGCCGUGAGUAGCGAAGCUAACGCGAUAAGUAGACCGCCUGGGGAGUACGGCCGCAAGGUUAAAACUCAAAUGAAUUGACGGGGGCCCGCACAAGCGGUGGAGCAUGUGGUUUAAUUCGAUGCAACGCGAAGAACCUUACCUACACUUGACAUGUUGAGAAGUUACUAGAGAUAGUUUCGUGCCUUCGGGAACUCAAACACAGGUGCUGCAUGGCUGUCGUCAGCUCGUGU